rnacentral:rRNA from 1 species
UUGUAAACUGCUUUUAUACGGGAAGAAACACUCCCACGUGUGGGGGCUUGACGGUACCGUAUGAAUAAGGAUCGGCUAACUCCGUGCCAGCAGCCGCGGUAAUACGGAGGAUCCAAGCGUUAUCCGGAAUCAUUGGGUUUAAAGGGUCCGUAGGCGGGUAUGUCAGUCAGUGGUGAAAGUCUGCAGCUCAACUGUAGAACUGCCAUUGAUACUGCAUACCUUGAGUAAUUAUGAAGUGGUUAGAAUAUGUAGUGUAGCGGUGAAAUGCAUAGAUAUUACAUAGAAUACCGAUUGCGAAGGCA